UCUUCGGGGAUAGGUAGUAGUUAAGGUGAUGGCUUAACCAGCCUACAACUCUCGUAGUCGAAUCUGAAAGGUUGAUCGACCACAUUGGGUCUGAAAAAACCCCAAUGCAAAUUUAGUACAGCAGUGAGGAAUAUUGGUCAAUGGCCUAACGGCUGAACUGGCAACUUGGAAAAGUGACUUCUUAUUGUAGUCAAAAGAUGGUUAUGCUAGUAUAAAUAGCCCGUAAGAUAGCAUUCAAAUUGAAUAAAGCUUUGUUUAUGUAUUGAUAAUGACAAUAUAUAUAUCCUGUCUUGACUAAUUACGUGCCAGCAGUCGCGGUAAUACGUAGGAGACUAGUGUUAUUCAUAUUAAAUAGGUUUAAAGGGUACGUAGGCGGUCAAUAUAACUUCUAUAAUGUUAGUACUUGACUAGAGUUUGAUAGAAGGGGGCAGUACUUGAGGAGAAGAGAUGAAAUUCUGUCAUACCAAAGGGACUCUGUAUAGGCGAAGGCAGCCCUUUAUGUAAAAACUGACGUUGAGGGACGAGGGCACAGAGAACGAACAGGAUUAGAUACCCCAGUAGUCUUUGCAGUAAAUGAUGAAUGCCAUAGGUUUAGAUUAA
rnacentral:rRNA from 1 species